rnacentral:misc_RNA from 1 species
AUUGUUUUCUUUGAUCAGAUUAUGCCGGUAAAGGUUUUCUGGUUUACCCUAUAGGGCUUGUAGCUCAGUUGGUUAGAGCGCGCGCUUGAUAAGCGUGAGGUCGGAGGUUCAAGUCCUCCCAGGCCCACCAGUUACACGAUGCUAAAAGUUGCUAUAUUGGGAGAGUUGAUAAUCCCUUACAGGAAAUUAUUGCCCUUAAUAAAACUUUAUUUUCUAAAAGCAUUCAGAGCUGACAUAGAAUAGAGCUGACAUAGAAUUGAGAAUCUGACAUAGGAAUUAUUGAAAUUGUUUUGGAAUUAUUGAAAUUGUUUUCUAUCAUUUUAAAAGGCUAAAAUAUUCUGUCUCUAUUUUUAAAAUAGCAUCAGGCGCUUUGUAAGAGUGUGAAGGUUUUAAGUGUGAGG